rnacentral:rRNA from 1 species
CCUGAUAUUGAAAUUCGGCACAGCUUGUACAGGAUAGGUAGGAGCCUUUGAAACGUGAGCGCUAGCUUACGUGGAGGCGCUGGUGGGAUACUACCCUAGCUGUGUUGGCUUUCUAACCCGCACCACUUAUCGUGGUGGGAGACAGUGUCAGGCGGGCAGUUUGACUGGGGCGGUCGCCUCCUAAAAGGUAACGGAGGCGCUCAAAGGUUCCCUCAGAAUGGUUGGAAAUCAUUCAUAGAGUGUAAAGGCAUAAGG